rnacentral:rRNA from 1 species
CACGUAGGGUGCGAGCGUUGUCCGGAAUUAUUGGGCGUAAAGAGCUCGUAGGCGGUGUGUCGCGUCGGCCGUGAAAACCUGCAGCUUAACUGUGGCGUGCGGUCGAUACGGGCAUCACUGGAGUUCGGCAGGGGAGACUGGAAUUCCUGGUGUAGCGGUGAAAUGCGCAGAUAUCAGGAGGAACACCGGUGGCGAAGGCGGGUCUCUGGGCCGAUACUGACGCUGAGGAGCGAAAGCGUGGGGAGCAAACAGG